CCUCACAAACUGCAGAUCACUACGGAUUGGCCACAGGGGACCUGCCUGGGUUGCCAGGCAGGUCCCCUGUGGCCAAUCCGUAGUGAUCUGCAGUUUGUG
rnacentral:miRNA from 1 species